UGCAGUCGACGCUUCUUUUUCCACCGGAGCUUGCUCCACCGGAAAAAGAGGAGUGGCGAACGGGUGAGUAACACGUGGGUAACCUGCCCAUCAGAAGGGGAUAACACUUGGAAACAGGUGCUAAUACCGUAUAACAAUCGAAACCGCAUGGUUUUGAUUUGAAAGGCGCUUUCGGGUGUCGCUGAUGGAUGGACCCGCGGUGCAUUAGCUAGUUGGUGAGGUAACGGCUCACCAAGGCCACGAUGCAUAGCCGACCUGAGAGGGUGAUCGGCCACAUUGGGACUGAGACACGGCCCAAACUCCUACGGGAGGCAGCAGUAGGGAAUCUUCGGCAAUGGACGAAAGUCUGACCGAGCAACGCCGCGUGAGUGAAGAAGGUUUUCGGAUCGUAAAACUCUGUUGUUAGAGAAGAACAAGGAUGAGAGUAACUGUUCAUCCCUUGACGGUAUCUAACCAGAAAGCCACGGCUAACUACGUGCCAGCAGCCGCGGUAAUACGUAGGUGGCAAGCGUUGUCCGGAUUUAUUGGGCGUAAAGCGAGCGCAGGCGGUUUCUUAAGUCUGAUGUGAAAGCCCCCGGCUCAACCGGGGAGGGUCAUUGGAAACUGGGAGACUUGAGUGCAGAAGAGGAGAGUGGAAUUCCAUGUGUAGCGGUGAAAUGCGUAGAUAUAUGGAGGAACACCAGUGGCGAAGGCGGCUCUCUGGUCUGUAACUGACGCUGAGGCUCGAAAGCGUGGGGAGCACACAGGAUUAGAUACCCUGGUAGUCCACGCCGUAGACGAUGAGUGCUAAGUGUUGGAGGGUUUCCGCCCUUCAGUGCUGCAGCUAACGCAUUAAGCACUCCGCCUGGGGAGUACGACCGCAAGGUUGAAACUCAAAGGAAUUGACGGGGGCCCGCACAAGCGGUGGAGCAUGUGGUUUAAUUCCAACCAACGCGAACAACCUUACCAGGUCUUGACAUCCUUUGACCACUCUAGAGAUAGAGCUUCCCCUUCGGGGGCAAAGUGACAAGUGGUGCAUGGUUGUCAUCAACUCUUGUCGUGAGAUGUUUGUGUUAAGUCCCGCAACCAGCCCAACCCUUAUUGUUAAUUGCCAUCAUUCAGUUGGACACUCCUGGAGAACUGCCCGUGAGAGACCGGAGAGAGGUGGCGAAGGAGGGGGAGGGAAACACCC
rnacentral:rRNA from 1 species